UUACGGCCACAUCAUGUUGAAACACCGGUUCCCUUAGGAUCACUGAAGUUAAGCAACAUUGAGCCUGGUCAGUACCUACAUGGGUGACUGCUUGGGAAUAACAGGUGCU